AGAGAAAGAAGCUCAUACAUGUAAACAUAACAAUCAGAGAGGAGAGCACAUACAUAUCACGCAUACAUUGUGAAAUCAACAUACCACAACUAUACACAUCAUAUAACAACGAGAGAGAGAGCAGAUCACACAGUGAUAAAAAGCAGCAAGCAGAAAGUAACACAGAAAAAGGAUACAGAAAUCAGAGGGGGCAGAGAAAAAAGAUAGCAAGUAAAAAAAUUCGAGAGCAUUUUUAUCAUAUAGGUCAUUCAGCAAAAAAGGAAACAUACAACACAAGCAGAGAUAUCCCAUAUACAACAACCAUCAGAGAAAUAGAGAGGCAGAGAUACAUCACACAGUCGUAAACAGGGGGCAGCCUUCAUACAUUCAAGCAAACUCAAUCCAAAAUAGACUUACAUUUCACAAGCAUUAUAAAGUGGCAGAACCCGUAUCAUACGACAGGAAGCAUAUACUCAGGUAAUCAUCCAAACGAAAAUAGGUAUCAUAACAUGUCUUAUUUUAGGUGAUUUAUGCAUCGAAAUUAUAGGAAUAAAUUAUAAACCGAUUUAAUCGGCCAUUUCGCAGAAACUCACAUAAGUAUAAUAGGCUAGAAUAUAAAAUAGAGCAUGAACGAAAUUGGUUUUAAUCUAUGUAUUUCCACCCGAAUCAGUCAUAACCCUUUCGGAAAUAAUUAGCCAAAGAGGACAACCGAAUCCCUACCUUACUCUAAUGACCACAGUGAGAACCGAACCAUCAUAAGCCACCAGGAGUGAAAACCGAACCAUCAUAAGCCACCGGAAGCGAGAACCGAACCACCUUAAGCCACCGGGAGUGAAAACCGAACCAACAUGAACCACCGUGAAUGCAUCUCAAUCCCAACCAUCGCGAACUACCGCAACCCACCACGAACCGUCACUGAAAUAGGUUCUUCCGGCUGGAUCAAUUCGGCUUCCAUCUUCAACAACCUUUAGUCGCCAUGAACACUACCGAUUGGAAAGAAGGAAGAAAACAGAUUCCAUGCCAUGGCCAUCCCUGCUGCGUGAAAAGAAAGGAAUUGAGAAGAAAAGUGGGACUUUGGUUUUAGGGAUUUUUAUCCCAUUUACUUUUAGGGAUUUACCCCUUUUGCUACCCAUGAGGGAGAAGGAUAGCAUAUCUUUCUUUUCUUUUUCUUCUGGUUGGUUUCUGAAUCCUUUAGAUAUUUA
rnacentral:lncRNA from 1 species